AGAUGGAGAAACUGAGGCACAGGGGCUGAUUCGCAGGUCAGGAGACUGAGAGGAUCAAGCUAUGGAGGUUCUGAUGUCACUUCUGGAAAAGAGCUGAGUGACAGCUGUGAAGGCGCCUUUGGAGGGGGCAGGCUGGAGGGCAGGGCAGCCCGAAAACACCACCGCAGGUCCACGCGUGCGCGCUCCCGGCAGGAGAGGGCCAGCCGGCCCCGGCUUACCAUCUUGAACGUGUGCAACACUGGGGACAAGAUGGUGGAGUGCCAGCUGGAGACGCACAACCACAAGAUGGUGACCUUCAAGUUCGACUUGGACGGGGACGCACCCGAUGAAAUUGCCACGUAUAUGGUGGAGCAUGACUUUAUCCUGCAGGCCGAGCGGGAAACGUUCAUCGAGCAGAUGAAGGAUGUCAUGGACAAGGCAGAGGACAUGCUCAGCGAGGACACAGACGCCGACCGUGGCUCCGACCCAGGGACCAGCCCGCCACACCUCAGCACCUGCGGCCUGGGCACCGGGGAGGAGAGCCGACAAUCCCAAGCC
rnacentral:sRNA from 1 species